rnacentral:rRNA from 1 species
CCUACGGGUGGCAGCAGUGAGGAAUAUUGGUCAAUGGGAGCGAGCCUGAACCAGCCAAGUCGCGUGAGGGAAGACGGCCCUAUGGAUUGUAAACCUCUUUUGUCGGGGAGCAAAAGACGCCACGCGUGGCGUUCCGCGAGUACCCGAAGAACAAGCAUCGGCUAACUCCGUGCCAGCAGCCGCGGUAAUACGGAGGAUGCGAGCGUUAUCCGGAUUUAUUGGGUUUACAGGGUGCGCAGGCGGAAGGUCAAGUCAGCGGUAAAAUUGAGAGGCUCAACCUCUUCGAGCCGUUGAAACUGGUUUUCUUGAGUGAGUGAGAAGUAUGCGGAAUGCGUGGUGUAGCGGUGAAAUGCAUAGAUAUCACGCAGAACUCCGAUUGCGAAGGCAGCAUACCGGCGCUCAACUGACGCUGAUGCUCGAAAGCGUGGGGAGCGAACAGGAUUAGAUACCCGAGUAGUC